AGUAUAUGCUCAUAAUGAAGCAUGUUCAUUAUGACUAGUGUCUUCUAGAUUUUGUAUUUGUUUUGACCAGUAUCUACUCUUUGUUAUUGUCUGCAUUUCUUCUCUAGAAUAUUAUACUUUUGGCAAAGAUGAUGAAAUACAUUUUUUCUUUACUCAUGAUCUUUGUGUCAUUACAAUACUAUCCAUUGCUAUUCAUUCUUUUUGAUGAUGACAAAAAGGGGGAGAAAGUAUAAGAGAGAAACUAGAAGCAAAUUCUAU
rnacentral:lncRNA from 1 species